rnacentral:lncRNA from 1 species
AUGAAGUGGCUGGAGCUAGCCCACUCACAUGCCCCCUUCCAGACUUGUUACAGAAGAUGAUGAUCGGAUGCUUUGAAACAGGACUUGGCUGGGAAGGAGAAGCUGGAGGAAGGAAGGAAGGAAGCCAAGCGUUUGUGGAAGGGAGAGUUUGGUCACGGCAUGGACUGGGGCAGAUGGGAAGGACAUCUGUGCACAUACAAGCUGGAGAAGAUUCAGGUCCUCUGGCUUCCCUGACACCCCCUCCCCUGCAAGUAACAGACUGCGCAUGAGCAGCAAGCAUCCUCCCAGAACAUGUCCCAGGGCGUGGUCUCUUUCCAGUCACUGCACCUUUGAGGGAAGAAUGGGAUCUAGUUGGCUAAGCACCCAGGACAACUCUGGCAACUCACCGCCCCCCCCUGUGAAUCCACCUCGUCCAGGAGUACCAUUCUGCAGUAAGGACACGUAGCUCGAUGUUCUUCCUACACUCAACAGUCACGACUGGAGAGGAGGGGACAGGACAGAAGGUGCCUUAGGGAUGAGAUCUCAUGAUGGACGCACAGGACAUGGAAAGCUGCAUGAACACUGUGUCUGCUUGGAUUUGGAGAAAAACAGAGCCUUGCAGCCAUGAGUUAGAGCAUUUUCCCAUCUUCAUCUUUCAUUUGAUAGAGGGAGUGUGCUGGGAUCGUUUGUCCAAGACUUUGUUCUUCCGGACUAGAUGUGGAGGGUGCAUUCUAGGGCUAAGCACAUGGGUCAGGAAACAACCUCAGAGCUGCUUCCGUGGGAAACAGAUGUAAAGGAGGCGUCGGCUUCCGCUGGCAGGUGAGGGGAUAUGGUGGCUAGUCUGCUUGUCUCUGAGAGCAGGAGGGGAUGAAGGUCUGAGAAGCCAGAACUCUACAUGGGGUGGAGAUGGGGCAUGGGGGCGGAGCACGGAAUG